GGAUUAGAUACCCUGGUAGUCCAAGCCGUAAACGAUGAAAACUAGCUGUUGGGUGGCUUGAUCGCUCAGUGGCGCAGCUAACGCGAUAAGUUUUCCGCCUGGGGAGUACGGCCGCAAGGCUAAAACUCAAAUGAAUUGACGGGGGCCCGCACAAGCGGUGGAGCAUGUGGUUUAAUUCGAUGCAACGCGAAAAACCUUACCUACUCUUGACAUCCUUAUAACCGACUGGAGACAGUCGGGUGCCUUCGGGAAGUAAGUGACAGGUGCUGCAUGGCUGUCGUCAGCUCGUGCCG
rnacentral:rRNA from 1 species